rnacentral:misc_RNA from 1 species
GAAUUUCGGAAGAGAUUGAAAGGAAAACACACGGCGAUAUCAGAAAACACCGCAUUUGCUAAAUCGCUACUGUUAAUCAUAUUUUGCUGUCAAAUGUUUUUAAUUGACAUUUUUUGAUUGUCGCUAUUGGCCAGUGUAGAGAUUUGUGCAAAAGUUUUUUAUAAUUGGUAAUCGCAUGCUACCUGGCAUAAUAAUAUAGUGGCUUGUGUAGUGAUUGAUGGUAGCAAAGUUCUCAUUAUUGUGUGUGUGCAGAAACAUUGAUAUUUCAAGUGCCGGUGCGAUGCGUAAAACUCGUUCUCAAACUCAGGCGGAGGCCGCAAUGGCAAAUGCCGGACGUACACCUUCCACAUCCAAUUCACCAUCCAUUGUUUCAUCGACGGAGAACAGUGGAGCACAAAACAUGAGCACGAGUAAUCGCAUGCCUCAAAAUAUCCAGAUUGCUGCCGUAAGUGCACAAAAGCGUAUCGUGCAACAAACGGAGCAUUUCAAAAUCAAGGAAUGUGAGGAAAUGAUAAAUUUGCUUCGCGUAGUAGAGCUGCAACAGAUACUAUCAUUUUUGAAUAUUUCGUUUGCUGGGCGUAAAAUUGACUUACAACGGCGCAUCAUUAAUCUAUUACAUACAAACUACGACUUACUGUCUCAUAAAAUACGUGAAGUUUACACACAAUCAAUAGCGGAGCAGCAAGCUCAGCAGUACGGGCCAACAGAUCCAAAAAGAAUGUAUUCACACAUGCAAAUGCCACAAGUGCAGCCCAAUCCAGCAGCUGGUCUGCCUAAUGCCGGUCAACCAACAGCUGUUGGUGCCCAACCAAUCGCCGGUGUACCGCCGACUGGGCCCGGCGUGGCCAACAAUAUGGUACCGUUUAUGAAUCCCAUACCCACACAUAUACCGAUACAUCCAGACGUACGUCUUAAGAAACUAGCUUUUUAUGAUGUACUGGGUGUGCUGAUUAAGCCUUCAUCACUUGUGCCGCGCAAUACACAGCGUAUACAAGAGGUGCCCUUCUACUUUACAUUGACACCACAACAGGCCACAGAGAUUGCAUCAAAUCGUGACAUACGAAACAGUAAUAAGAUUGAGCAUGCCAUACAGGUUCAGCUACGUUUCUGCUUAUUAGAAACAUCAUGCGAACAAGAGGACUGUUUCCCGCCCAGUGUCAGUGUAAAGGUCAACAAUAAGUUGUGCCAACUGCCGAAUGUCAUUCCAACAAACAGACCGAAUGUGGAACCAAAACGACCACCACGGCCCGUCAAUGUUACAGCAAAUGUAAAGCUUUCGCCUACGGUUACCAACACAAUCACAGUACAAUGGUGCCCGGAUUAUACGCGUGGCUAUUGCAUUGCCGUAUACUUGGUGAAGAAGCUAACUUCAGCGCAAUUAUUGCAUCGCAUGAAGACCAAGGGCGUCAAACCAGCCGACUACACGCGCGGUUUAAUUAAAGAGAAACUCACUGAAGAUGCAGAUUGCGAAAUCGCUACAACAAUGCUUAAAGUUUCGCUGAAUUGUCCGUUGGGCAAGAUGAAAAUGUCCAUACCAUGCCGUGCAUCGACUUGCUCGCAUUUACAAUGUUUUGAUGCUAGUCUUUACCUGCAGAUGAACGAGCGUAAGCCUACAUGGAAUUGUCCAGUGUGCGAUAAGGCAGCUAUUUACGAUAAUCUGGUCAUUGAUGGCUACUUUCAAGAGGUUCUUGCCUCGUCGCUACUUAAACCCGACGAUACGGAGAUACAAUUACAUAAAGACGGCUCAUGGAGCACACAUAGUUUACGUAAUGAGGCUCAAAUAAUCGAUACGCCGACAAAGCCGGUUGAAAAAGUCGAAGUCAUUUCGGAUGAUAUCGAAGUCAUUACCACAGAGGAUGUGAAAAUGGUUAAAGCUGGCGCACCACCUGCCAUUGCUAAUGACCAGCCCACAUCAACGACAAACAGUGAAACGGUGGAUUUAACGCUCAGCGAUUCUGAUGACGAUAUGCCGCUGGCCAAGCGGCGUCCCACCAUUAAGCAAACUUCUGCCGCUAGUGCUACAAAUUCGGCGGUGUCCACAUCUAACAUUAACGGCAGCGGCAAUGGCAAUGCUGCAGGUAACGGCGGCCCCAAUGCCAGUCAGCGUAAUGCUUUUCAACCGCCACGAACUGGUACGUUGGACGCUUAUUCGUACUAAAGAAACAAACAUUAAAACAAAAGCGGACACCACCAUAAUAUCACUAGAUUCACCCUCACCACCGAACAGUCCAAAAUACUCGGAAAGAGACGUCAGCUCCGCCGAGACUCCUACAGCCUCAAAUGUCGUGUACACGUCUAGUAGUAAGAAUAGCGAUUUUCUUCUGAAUCCCUGCGCUUUUCGUAGAUAAACACAAUGUAGGCCUUCGCUGCAUUGUAAACUUGAAUAUUUCUAGUUUUUAAAAAACAAAAAAAAAUACAAAAUUAUUUCAUUAAAAAUUAGUUAUGAUAUACCCUAACUCUUCAUAUGAAAAUGAAAAUGAAGAAAAUGCGACUAUUUUUUUUUAAUUGUAAAUUAUUUUUAAUUUGAUGAAAUUGCUCUACACAAUCAUAUUUACUGAAAUCAUAAUAACGUAACAUAUACUUUUUAGAAAUAACGAAAGAAUCGUUGCAUAGCUCUAUAUAUAGUAUAUAUACAUUUGUACGCAUACUUCUUAAUCUCACGUCGUAUUUCGUGAAUAUUUUGUUGGUAAAACUUAAACACAUACAUAUGUAUAUAGUUCAUUAUGCUUUAGUUGUUAAGUUGCACCCAUUCGGACAUACAAACAGACAAGAAUAUGUUUCGUUUUUUUUUGUUAAAUAACAUGAACAAGGUACAAAUUUCAUUAAAGCCACUUAUGCGAUACAUACCUACAUACCUUUUUACAUACCUAGUAUAUACAUACAUACAUACAUAUUUUUAAAUUUCAAUAAAAAGCAUUUAUAAUAUCAA